CUCGCGAGAUCUGACAACACUUACGUCGUCACUGGGGUGUUUGACAAAGUCUAACGUAAACCUGUCGUCACCAAACUAAGAUGAUCUUUUGGGAUUUUUAAAAUAAUGCUUCAUUAACAGGAAGUUUAAAAGCUGUAUGAAGAGCUCCGGACUAUUAUCCUGUCCAUCUGCCUGCCACAUUUGCCUUCUGCGUUGUCUGGAUUGAUGGAGUACCAGAUUAGUCGUAAUGGUGUGAUGUCGCUCAGGCCUUUAUAGAUUGGUUGGAUUAUGGACUUCAGAAUUGGACGUAAGAAGAAUGGGCAUCAUGUGA